rnacentral:rRNA from 1 species
GAUGAACGCUAGCGGGAGGCCUAACACAUGCAAGCCGAGCGGUAUUUCUUCUUCGGGAGAGAGAGAGCGGCGUACGGGUGCGGAACACGUGUGCAACCUGCCUUUAUCUAGAGGAUAGCCUUUCGAAAGGAAGAUAAAUACUCUAUAAUAUAUUAAUGGGCAUCAAUUGAUAUUUAAACCUCCGGUGGAUAGAGUUGGGCACGCGCAAGAGUAGCUAGUUGGUGAGGUAACGGCUCACCAAGGCAAUGAUCUUUAGGGGUCCUGAGAGGGGGAUCCCCCACACUGGUACUGAGACACGGACCAGACUCCUACGGGAGGCAGCAGUGAGGAAUAUUGGUCAAUGGGCGCAAGCCUGAACCAGCCAUGCCGCGUGCAGGAUGAAGCAUCUAUGGUGUGUAAACUGCUUUUAUACAGGAAGAAACGACUCUUGCGAGAGGCAUUGACGGUACUGUAUGAAUAAGCACCGGCUAACUCCGUGCCAGCAGCCGCCGUAAGAC